GCCCGGGCCCUGGGCCACCAAAGCCUCGGCGCUGCGGCCCAGCGGGUCUCCCUCCAUCUGCUCCCACACUCCGAAGACUUACAGGAAUGAAAAAUCCGCUUGCCCUGCGCAGUGGAGGGGGACUCUGAGUAAGAUGACCAAAAAUCACAGCCAUGCUGCCUAACCUGUCGAGUAUCCCCAUCAUUUUCUGCUUUUGGAACAGAUUUCCAGUAAAACUGCAGGUUCUUUUGCUUUUCAAAAUGGAGUGAAUUUUAACAAAGUCUAAUUUCCCUGCAACUGUCUGUCUGUUUCCACUCGUUUUCUUUUCAAGUCGCCUGAUUGGACUGAUUUUAGUUGCUGCCUGUUACAUUCAGUCAGUGGGAUUCACCUCACUCUGAUAAAUGUUCAGUAAUGAAUUUCAGUUUCCAUAUCUGAAUAUUAUAAAACCUAUCUCCAAGCAGGCAAACAAAAACAUUAUUUUUAUUUCUGCCGCAAAAAUGCUUUUGUAACCAUGAAAGGAUUAAAGGACAUCAUAUCCCUGAUUGGAUCCUUUGAAUAACAUGCCUAAUGCAAUAAUCUAUUCACAUUUACAACCCAUGGUCACUAUCCUAGGUAAUCCAGAUCUUAAAAAUACAUUUCCGUCAGCAUUCUGAGGUUAUUACAGAAAGCAUGACAUCCGAGUUGGAACAAUGAUCAUCCUUGAUGAAGUCAAACAAGAGGACAUGACUUGAGAAUUAAGGGACAGAAGUUUAGGGGUAACAUGAGGGGGAACUUCUUUACUCAGAGAGUGGUAGCUGUGUGCAAUGAGCUUCCAGUGGAAGUGGUGGAGGCAGGUUCGAUUUUAUCAUUUAAAAAUAAAUUGGAUAGGUAUAUGGACGGGAAAGGAAUGGAGGGUUAUUGUCUGAGUGCAGGUAGAUGGGACUAGGGGAAAAUAUGUUUUCGGCACGGACUUGAAGGGCCGAGAUGGCCCGUUUCCGUGCUGUAAUUGUUAUAUGGUUAUAAGUGUAACAGGAAUGCCUGGAUGAUCAGAUAGAAGGGUAUGGGCUAAAUGCUGGCAAAUAGGACCAGCUUAGAUGGAGCAUCUUGGCCAGCGUGGAAGGGUUGGGCUGAAGUGCCUGUUUCCUCAACAUUAGCCACCACCAGUAGGUUGAAGAGCCCUUUUCCUUGCUGCAUCUAUAAGCGAAACUUGAGGUGAAGGAAGCUUCCAGGCUAGAGUUAUUUUGUAACUUGGCACAUCGAGCAUGGUCAUAAGCAUAUUUGUAUACACAUCAAUAAUUGGAGUCAUCAAGAGAGUCAGCUCUCACAACACUAAUUUUGAGUGUUUGGGUUCCCUGUCCUCAGAAGCUUUUAGACCACACAUAUUAAUUACUUUGACCCAACAAAGAUAUUUGAACAUUCAGAGGUGUCUUGUCUGCUGCAGUGUGCUGACAUUGUAAAUGGGUAAAUCAAUGAAACCUUUUAUCAGACUCAAAGUAUCAACCUAAUCAAUGUUGUAGCUAUUGAAAUUGUAUCGAAUCACCUGCUGUUAUCUUUGAUCUCAGUAUAAAAUGUGAUGCACUUUGAGUUUGAGAGUUUCUAUUAAUCGGUUCUGCAAAAGUGUAUCUAUUUCUCUUAAUGAAUAAAGACUUUUUUAUCAAUCA